GCUGGGCGUGGUGGUGGGUGCCUGUAAUCCCAGCUACUCGGGAGGCUGAGGCAGGAGAAUCGCUUGAACCCAGGAGGCUGAGGCUGCAGUGAGCAGAGAUCGCACCACUGUGCUCCAGCCUGAGCCACAGAGCGAGACCCUGUCUCAU
ensembl:misc_RNA Metazoa_SRP Metazoan signal recognition particle RNA